rnacentral:lncRNA from 1 species
GGGGGGGGGGCGCUACGCGGCCGACGCGCAUGCGCGUGCGGGACCCGGAUUGCGCCCCCCGGGCGGAGCUGAGGGGAUGGCAGAGGAGGGGGCGGCGGGACGGGACGGAGUGGGAUGGGGGCAUGGAUGGGGGGUCGGGAUGGGGUAUGGGUGGGUAUGGGGUGGUGUGCUGUAGGUUGGGGUAUGGGGUGAGGGUGGGAGGGGGAUGGGAUGGGGAUGAUUCAGGUUUGGGAUGCGUAUGGGAUGGGUAUGGGAUUGAUAUGGGAUGGGUAUGGUGUAGGUAUGAUAUAGGUAUGGAAUGGGUAUGGUAUAGGUUUGGGAUGAGUACGGUAUGGGUAUAGGAGGGGUAUGGGAUGGGUACGGUAUGGGUACGGUAUGGGUACGGUAUGGGUACGGUAUGGGUAUGGGAUGGGUAUGGGAUGGGUAUGGGAUGCAUACGGUAUAGGUUUGGGAUGGGUAUGGUAUAGAUAUAGCAUGGGUACGGUAUAGGCAUGGUGUGGGUACGGUAUAGACAUGGGGUGGGUAUGGGAUGAGUAUGGGAUGGGAAUGGUAUAGGUUUGGGAUGAAUAUGAUAUAGGCAUGGGAAGGGUAUGGUAUAGGUUUGGGAUGGGUAUUGGUUGGGUGUGGGAUGGGAAUGGGAUGGAUAUGGGAUGGGAAUGGUAUAGGUUUGGGAUUGGUAUGGUAUAGGCAUGGUGUGGGUAUGGGAUCGAUAUGGAAUGGGUAUGGUAUAGGUAUGGGAUGGUUAUGGGAUGGAUAUAUUAUAGUUAUGGGAUGGGUAUAGGAUGCGUAUGGUAUAGGUAUAUAAUGGCUGUGGUAUAGGUAUGGUAUAGGUAAGGGCAUGGCAUGAGUACAGUAUGGGGGGGGCACGGUGUAGGUUGGGGAAUGGAAUAGGUAAUGUAUGGGAUGGGUAUGGUGUAGGUAUGGGAUGGGUAUGGUGUAGGUAUGGGUAUGGGAUGGGUAUGGUGUAGGUAUGGGGAUGGGAUGGGUAUGGUGUAGGUAUGAGGUGGGAUGGGUAUGGUGUAGAUAUGGGUAUGGGAUGGGUAUGGUGUAGGUAUGAGGUGGGAUGGGUAUGGUGUAGGUAUGGGAUGGGAUGGGUAUGGGAUGGGUAUGGGAAGAGAUGGGAUGGGAUGGAUAUGGUGUAGAUAUGGGUAUGGGAUGGGUAUGGUGUAAGUAUGGGAUGGGAUGGGUAUGGUGUAGAUAUGUGUAUGGGAGGUGCAUGGGAUGGGUAUGGUGUAGGUAUGGGUACGGGGUGGGUAUGAUGUAGGUAUAGGAUGGGAUGGGUAUGGUGUAGGUAUGGGUACGGGGUGGGUAUGAUGUAGGUAUAGGAUGGGAUGGGUAUGGUGUAGGUAUGGGUACGGGGUGGUGUAGGAAUGGUGAGGUGGGGGCAUGGUGAGGGUGGGGGGGUCACAGCACAGGGUGGGCACUGCAAUGGCGCAGGUCCGGGAUUUGAUGCCGAACUGCUGUCGGCUCCUCAGUGCGGUGGGGGGGGGACUUCAGCUCAUCCCAGCGCGGCGUUCCGUCCCUCCUUCACCGCCAUCCGCGCUGUUGUGCACCGCUCCGAAAAGCCCCCACCGAACCGGGGGGUGGGGGGGGGGUUCAGGAUGGCCCACCCUCCACGACUCCUCCAUCACUUUCUGCAUCUGCGCCCCCCCCCGACAGCCACGGCUGCAGGGAUGGUGUCACAGCUCUGACAUCAGAGCCAAACCGUGACGUCACUCCCCAUCCCGUGAC